UACGUAGGGGGCAAGCGUUGUCCGGAAUCAUUGGGCGUAAAGCGCGUGUAGGCGGUUCGGUAAGUCUGCUGUGAAAGUCCAGGGCUCAACCCUGGGACGCCGGUGGAUACUGUCGGACUAGAGUACGGAAGAGGCGAGUGGAAUUCCCGGUGUAGCGGUGAAAUGCGCAGAUAUCGGGAGGAACACCAAUUGCGAAGGCAGCUCGCUGGGACGUUACUGACGCUGAGACGCGAAAGCGUGGGGAGCAAACAGG
rnacentral:rRNA from 1 species